UCCUGGCUCAGAUUGAACGCUGGCGGCAGGCCUAACACAUGCAAGUCGAGCGGAUGACGGGAGCUUGCUCCUUGAUUCAGCGGCGGACGGGUGAGUAAUGCCUAGGAAUCUGCCUGGUAGUGGGGGACAACGUUUCGAAAGGAACGCUAAUACCGCAUACGUCCUACGGGAGAAAGCAGGGGACCUUCGGGCCUUGCGCUAUCAGAUGAGCCUAGGUCGGAUUAGCUAGUUGGUGGGGUAAUGGCUCACCAAGGCGACGAUCCGUAACUGGUCUGAGAGGAUGAUCAGUCACACUGGAACUGAGACACGGUCCA
rnacentral:rRNA from 1 species